GCCGGGCAUGGUGCUGCACGCCUGUAGUCCCAGCUACUCGGGAGGCUGAGGCAGGAGAAUUGCUUGAACCCAGGAGACGGAGGCUACAGUGAGCCAACAUAGUGCCACUGCACCCCAGCCUGGGUGACAGAGCAAGACUCUGUCUCAA
ensembl:misc_RNA Metazoa_SRP Metazoan signal recognition particle RNA